rnacentral:rRNA from 1 species
ACUACGGGGGGCAGCAGUGGGGAAUAUUGCACAAUGGGGGAAACCCUGAUGCAGCGACGCCGCGUGAGUGAAGAAGUAUUUCGGUAUGUAAAGCUCUAUCAGCAGGGAAGAAAAUGACGGUACCUGAUUAAGAAGCCCCGGCUAACUACGUGCCAGCAGCCGCGGUAAUACGUAGGGGGCAAGCGUUAUCCGGAUUUACUGGGUGUAAAGGGAGCGUAGACGGCAGCACAAGUCUGGAGUGAAAUGCCGGGGCCUAACCCCGGAACUGCUUUGGAAACUGUGCAGCUAGAGUGCAGGAGAGGUAAGUGGAAUUCCUAGUGUAGCGGUGAAAUGCGUAGAUAUUAGGAGGAACACCAGUGGCGAAGGCGGCUUACUGGACUGUAACUGACGUUGAGGCUCGAAAGCGUGGGGAGCAAACAGGAUUAGAUACCCCAGUAGUC